AAGUGUCUUCUGGCAUCUCUACCACCUUCUCCAGAUGAUAAUUUUUGGAGACCACAGACACCACCACUCAAGUGUCUUCUGGCAUCUCUACCACCUUCUCCAGAUGAUAAUUUUUGGAGACCACAGACGCCAACAUUCAAGUGUCUUCUGGCAUCUCUGCCAUCUUCUCCAGAUGAUCAUCUUUGGAGACCACAGACACCACCACUCAAGUGUCUUCUGGCAUCUCUGCCACCUUCUCUAAAUGAUCAUCUUUGAAAAUUACAGACGCCACCACUCAAGUGCCUUCUGGCAUCUCUACCACCUCCUCUGUUUGAUAAUCUUUGGAGACCACAGACACCACGACUCAAGUGUCUUCUGGCAUCUCUACCACCUUUUUUAGAUGAUCAUCUUUGAAAACCACAGACGUCACCACUCGAGUAUCUUCUGAUACCUCUACCAUCAUCUCCAGCUGAUUAUUUUCUGAGACGACACACAGCUUCCAUCCAUUGUCUUCUGGGACCUCAACCACUUUCUCCAACUGAAAAUUUUUGAGAUUACAAGUAGCUCCACCAUUUGAGUGUCCCCUUGGACCUCAGCUACGUGUUUCAAUAGAGUGUCUUCUGGUAUCUCUUCACCUUCUUGAUGAUCUUCUGAGACCACAGACACCUCCACCUGAGUGUACUCUAGUUCCUCUCCCACCAUCUUCAGCUGAAGAUUUCCUAAGAAAAUCUUCACCCACACACCUCAACGUGAGUGUCCUCUGGUAUCUCUACCACUCUCCAGCUGAAGAUGUUCUGAGGCCUCACACACCACCACUUGAGUGUUCUCUGAUACCUCUGCCAUCAUCUCAAGCUGAAGACUUUCUGAGCCCCACACUCCUCCACCCGAGUGGAAUCUGUUACCUUUACCAUCUUCUACAGCUAAUGACUUUCUGGCAGACCACAGGCAGCUCCACCACUUGAGCAUUUUCUGGAACCUCAACUUCCUAUUUCAGUCAUGUGUCCUCUGGGACUUCAACCACCUACUUCACUCGAAUGUCCUGUGCCACCUCAACCAUCUUCUCCAAGUGAAGGUUCUCUGAGACCACAGUCACCUCCUUCAGUCAAGUGCUCUCUGGUAUCUCCACCAUCUUCUCCAGCUGGUGAUCUGAAACCACAGACACCUCCAGCAAUUGAGUGUCCUCUGAGACUUCCUUUAUGUCUUCCAACUAUUUGUUUUGUGGGACCUCUAGCACCUCCUCCAGCUGCACCUCCUAUGGGACUUUAUCUACCUCAUCCAGGUGUCUGUCCUGAGCCCUCAGACACCUCCUUCCUAGGUUUUCUCUCGUACUUCGACCACCUCCUUCACUUGGCUGACCUGCUGUCUCAACCGACACUCAACCUUCACCUGACUGUCCCCUCGGACUUCACCCCCUCCUCUAGUCAUGCGGCCUCUGAGACCUCAACCAACACCUCUAAAUGCACCACUUGAUGUGUUUAUUUGAAUGGUAUAAAGUAAUUUGUAAAAAAAUUCAUCUCUUCUUUUUUGAGUGAAUAGAAAGAAACGGCACAGAUGGUCCUGCAGGGCUUUGCAGUACAAGGUGACACUGGCUGAGAUCCUGGUCACUUUUCUCAGGUUUCUGAGAGUACACAGUCGGUUGCAGUAUUUCCUCAUCAUGAGUUUAGUAGCAGGUAUCUUUUGUAGAUAAAGACACAUUUUGUGUUUUUUGUGGGGACAGUCUCACUGUGUCACCCAGGCUGGAGUGCAGUGGUGCAAUCCUGGCUCAGUGUAACCUCUGUCUCCAGGGUUCAGGUGAUCCUCCCAUCUUAGCCUUCAGAGCAGCAGCUGGGACUACAGUCACGCACCGCCACAUUUGGCUUCUUUUUAUUUUUUAAAUUUUGAGAUGAAGUCUCACUCUGUUGCCAGGCUGCAGUGCAGUGGCACCAUCUUGGCUGACUGCAACCUCUGCCUCUUAGGUUCAAGCAGUUCUCCUGCCUCUGCCUCCCAAGUAGCUGGGGCCACAGGUGCAUGUCCCCAUGCCCAACUCAUUUUUUGUUUUAGCAGCGACAGCGUUUCACCAUGUUGGCCAGGACAUUCUUGAUCUACUGAUCUCUUGAUGUGCUCGCCUUGCCCUCU
rnacentral:lncRNA from 13 species